UACGGAGGGUGCGAGCGUUGUCCGGAUUUAUUGGGUUUAAAGGGUGCGUAGGUGGCUUUAUAAGUCAGUGGUGAAAUACGGUUGCUCAACAAUCGAGGUGCCAUUGAUACUGUAGAGCUUGAAAUAAUUGGAGGCUGCCGGAAUGGAUGGUGUAGCGGUGAAAUGCAUAGAUAUCAUCUAGAACACCGAUUGCGAAGGCAGGUGGCUACGAUUUGUUUGACACUGAGGCACGAAAGCAUGGGGAGCAAACAGG
rnacentral:rRNA from 1 species